GGGUGUUUGUGGAGGAGAGGGUGGAGCGGGAGAGGAGUCAGAGUUUCCCCCACUCCUCUCCAGCUCCACCCUCUCCUCCACAAACAAGAC